rnacentral:siRNA from 1 species
CUCUUGUUGAUGUGCGUUCGUCU